rnacentral:lncRNA from 1 species
UCCCCGUUGACUCACCUCUUCCACCAUUAAAGCUCCAUUAUUGCUUCAAGCUCCAUUUUCGCCCGAUGUCACUCCCUAGCCAACCAAACUUGUUGAUUUGCUCGGGAGGUUGAGAAGGCCCCGAUCUACACUUCCACCAAGAGAUAUUUGAUUCCCCCUACUAAUCCCUUGCAGAUCUUGUUACUCUUGGGUGUUUGAGCAUCCUAGACGGUUGAGGUCACCGCGAAGCCAUAGUCCAUUGUGGUGAAGCUUCGUGGUGUCGUUGGGAGCCUCCAAUUGAGUUGUGGAGAUUGCCCCAACCUCGUUUGUAAAGGUUCGGUCGCCGUUUCCAAGGGUACCAAUAGUGGAAUCACGACAUCUCACAUUGUGUGAGGGCGUGAGGAGAUUACGGUGGCCCUAGUGGCUUCUUGGGGAGCAUUGUGCCUCCACACCGCUCCAAUGGAGACGUACUUCCUCUCAAAGGGAAGGAACUUCGGCAACAUAUCCUCGUCUCCAUCGUCUCCACUCUUGGUUAUCUCGUGCCUUUACUUGUGUAGCUUAUUUGUUUCAUAUAUCUUGCUUGCUUGUGUUCCUAUUCGUGUUGCAUCAUAUAGGUUGCUCAUCUAGUUGCAUAUAUAGACAACCUACUUUGAUGCAAAGUUUAAAUUGCUAAAGAAAAGCUAAAAAUUGUUAGUUGCCUAUUCACCCCCCUCUAGUCAACCAUAUCGAUCCUUUCACCGUACCUUCGGUGCUAGGAUCGGUCGGAUCGUGAAGACGUAUGACUACAUCAACCACGUUGUCAUAACGCUUCCGCUUAUGGUCUACGACGGUAUGUAGACAACACUCUCCCCUCUCGUUGCUAUGCAUCACCUAGAUGGAUCUUGCGUGUGCAUAGGAUUUUUUUUUUGAAAUUACUGCGUUCCCCAACACACAUGUAUGGAAAUAUAUCACAACUAAGCAACGGAAUCAGGAGAUGAAUAGUUGCAACAAAGAAUGAAGCUAAGAAUAGCCGAAGGUACAACACAUUGACCCGAUUUGCUAAUUUUGUAGCACCAUGUCUUGUUGGAUGCUGGCCUCCUCCUAACCAAUCAAUCGAUGCAAUGGUCUUACUAAAAUUGUACGAGAAGGAAAUCACGGUGGCAAAUGCAAAACCUAGGAAAGGAGAUCAAGGAACGAAAUUAAAUUGUGAAAAAAUUGGACCUCACAAUCAAACCUUACCAGGGGGGCGAGGAGUACAUGACGAUUAAAGAUAGGAUGCAUCCAGAUUUUGGCUGAUGGUGAAGCGGAGAGCCACAUAGGGGUCAUAUCCAUCGCGUGGAAAUAGGAGCAAGUCAAUUGACGUUGUCAUCGUUGUCGUGUUGCAACUGAGGUCACCAGAUGACCCAGCCGAAGAGGAACCGCUGUCGGUGUCAAAACCGGUCGAUCUCGGGUAGGGGGUCCCGAACUGUGCGUUUGAGGAUCGAAGGUAACAGUAACAGGAGGCAGGGGACACGAUGUUUAUCUAGGUUCGGGCCCUCUUGAUGGAGGUAAUACGCUACUUCCUGCUUGAUUGACUUUGAUGAGUAUAUGGGUUACAAGAGUUGAUCUAUGCACACUGGGUGAAGAAUAUUAGCUCGGGUGAAGAAUAAUGUAUUAUGCACACUGGGUGAUGAAUAGUAACACUAUAUAUAUGUAGUCCAUAUCAUAAUCUCUAAAAAACUUAUAUUUAUGAACGGAGCAAGUAUUUCUCAUGCAUGAGUGUGAGUCAUGGUGCUAUUAUCAUGGAAGUUCAGGCUCGAUCAGAGGAGUUCGAAAUCUACAAGGUGAAAUUCUGAAGCAGAUAGUUUAUCUAAGUUCCUUUUAAUCUCUGGAUGUGGGCAAACAUGUAUGGUUUUUGUUAGAAUAAUUUAAGGCGCGUAGUUGAUCUACCAAGGACCAAGCAAUCAUACGAGACACGACACCUAGAUUUGUUAAUGAGGUUCACCGUCAUGGCUACAUCCCCGGGUUUGACUAUGGACGCUCCCUCUCACGACACCGCUACCAUGUCGCACCUCGCCCGUCCGGGUGUCGGCACACGCCGCUGCCGCAUAUGUCUAACCCCUCAUAUAUAUAAGAGGCCUAGAAUACAAGUGUCUUGUUAGGACAUGACUCCAUAUUCUAUCUACAAACCAUACAACUCGGAGUUCAAUUGUAAUCUAUUUUUGUACACAAUAUUCGACACAACCCUAACAACUUUCGCAUCAACAUGACAUUGUAACAAUUCUUAUGGACCUCGUUGAUCAAUAAAGCAACAUCGUUCCCCUAAUAGAUGAAAAAGACAAGUUAACAUAGAGGCCUCGCGUGGCGCUACGCGUGGGAAAUGGAGCACCGGGACAUGAACAACUUGCAAGUGCCAAGCAGGCCUGUUAAGCUACGUGCCAAGUUCUCUCAGCAAGUGUACUGUUAUUACCUCUGUUCCAAAUUACGUGUCUUAAAAAUUAUCUAACAUUAAAAUAUGUCUAGAUAUUAUCCUUAUAUAGACAAAUCAAAAACAAAUAAUUCAGGACGGAGGAAGUAUUAUACAAGCAAAGCUGAUCUUUUUUUUUUUGCUAAAAAAAAGAAGGAGAAGGCAAAAGCCACUAUGGGCAGUGAAGCCAUUAGGCCCAGUUUAACUGUGUGGUUGGGCCACUGUUUGCCCCGCCCCCCGCAAAGCCGCUGUAUAAGCCCACCUAAGAGGCCUAUUUAUAUCGACCCCCACCUCCUCCUUCAGCCUCCACACCGAUCUAGGGUUUCCUGCUAGGGUUUUGGUCCUUCGGUUUCGGCGGCGCAAGAUGGGGGAGAGGGUCAAGGGAACCGUGAAGUGGUUCAACGUCACCAAGGGGUUCGGCUUCAUCUCCCCGGAGGACGGCAGCGAGGACCUCUUCGUCCACCAGUCCGCCAUCAAGUCCGACGGCUACCGCAGCCUCAACGAGAACGACACCGUCGAGUUCGAGGUCAUCACCGGCGACGACGGUCGCACCAAGGCCUCCGACGUCACCGCACCAGGAGGAGGAGCGCUCUCCGGCGGCUCCCGCCCUGGCGAUGGCGGUGGUGACCGUGGGGGCCGCGGCGGCUACGGUGGCGGUGGCUACGGCGGUGGCGGUGGCGGUGGCGGCUACGGAGGCGGUGGUGGCGGUUACGGCGGUGGCGGUGGCGGCUACGGUGGUGGCGGCGGCGGCCGUGGAUGCUACAAGUGCGNNNNNNNNNNNNNNNNNNNNNNNNNNNNNNNNNNNNNNNNNNNNNNNNNNNNNNNNNNNNNNNNNNNNNNNNNNNNNNNNNNNNNNNNNNNNNNNNNNNNNNNNNNNNNNNNNNNNNNNNNNNNNNNNNNNNNNNNNNNNNNNNNNNNNNNNNNNNNNNNNNNNNNNNNNNNNNNNNNNNNNNNNNNNNNNNNNNNNNNNNNNNNNNNNNNNNNNNNNNNNNNNNNNNNNNNNNNNNNNNNNNNNNNNNNNNNNNNNNNNNNNNNNNNNNNNNNNNNNNNNNNNNNNNNNNNNNNNNNNNGCGGCGAGGAGGGCCACAUCUCCAGGGACUGCCCCCAGGGCGGCGGCGGUGGCGGCGGAUACGGCGGUGGUGGCUAUGGAGGAGGCGGCGGCGGCGGCCGCGAGUGCUACAAGUGCGGCGAGGAGGGCCACAUCUCCAGGGACUGCCCCCAGGGCGGUGGUGGUGGCGGCGGCGGCGGCGGCUACGGAGGCGGUGGUGGCCGUGGCGGCGGCGGCGGCGGUGGCGGCUGCUUCUCCUGCGGCGAGUCCGGCCACUUCUCCCGCGAGUGCCCCAACAAGGCCCACUAGGCGGCACAGCUCUUCAGAUCUGAGUGCCCCGUUUACCCUCGCUCCUUUACCUACCUCCUGAUUCUGCAGCAAGUCAUACCCUAUACCUAUCAGUACUAGUAUUAGUCGCCGUAGCGUUUCCCCCUGCUGCUCGAUCCGAGCUUGGUUCCAGAAGAAUUGCUGGUGGUGUGUUCGUCGUUAAGAUCCAAGUUAUUUUGUUGUCUCUCUGUGAUGAGGACACAGAUCUAUCUAUGUGUUGGAUGGACUAAGUUAUCGAAGUCAAGUUUGGUUUCUUGAGAUUGAUCUAUGAUCUUGCAUGCCUAGUGUUUAUCUUGCAUGUCUGCCAGGCUUGAAAGCGUUGAUUCUGAUAUUCUGUUCUAGGCUAGUGGUGGUGGAUUAUUUUGGAAUCCUGUUCUCCCAUUUAUGUGCGAUUCCAUUGGCGUUUUGAUAGUGGUAUGAUUCGCAAGUUUGAUGCUUCAUGUUCAACAGGUUCAUGGUUCCAAAUCUUCAACAGGUCAAUUCUUAUAUGUUCUUGUGCCACUGUCUGCUGUUAGUAGAUUCUUCACAUGCCACUAGCUUGCAAAAUGCAUCCUAGAUCUUUUUGCAUCCGUCCUAAGCAAGACACGUUGAUUCCUUGCUAUGAUAGAAGACAAAUUCAAUCAGCUCUGCUGUUCCCAUUACGCCCACAUUUCAUUAUAAGCUUAAUCUGAAUUCAGCAGUCUCUUGCUUAAGAAAGAAGGCACCUUAGCUUACUGAUUAAGCCUGAAGCUCCGUUGCAGCUUAGUGGAGUAGUGUGCUUUGUCUGGGAUGAACAGAAUGGAAUCAUGUCGCUUUAGACUUGGGGGAUGCGAAGAAUAACAGCCUAAAUUUUUAUCUCCUUCCAACAAAUGACUCUAGAGCACAUGAACUAUGAUUGAAUAAAUCUUUAUGAGCUUACGCUUUUUAGCAUUUUUCAUAGGAAAUUUAAUAGCCACUCCCAAAUGAAACCAUGAUAUGAAGUACACAUCUCAAAUUUUCCAGAUCUCCUGUGUCCUUUGCAGGCAACGAGCAGGGGGAGGGACCCUGCCCCUGCAGUCGUACUUGGUAGUCUUUUUAGUCCUGAAUGGCACUUUGUCGGGUAAUCUCAUCGGGGAGGAAACUCCGGCGAGCCCUGUUCGUGGCCGCCAUAGCUGUUGAUGUGCUCGUCCUCUUCGAUGCUGGCAACAACUUUCUGCAACGCAUCUUAAGCGCGGUAGUCGGCGUUAGUGUAGGGAUGGAGGCAACCAAAUCGGUUUCUCCCAAGUUCCCUUUGUUUCCCUUUAGCUCCAACAAAUUCCUUGUAGAAUUUGGUCAUCUUUAUUUCGUUUCUCUAGCGUUGUUGGUCUAGGUUUUCUCUCCAAUUUACCUUGUGGUCUCUGCUUAUUGGUAUGAAUUGAAGACUGCCUUGAAUUCCUAACUUAUGGCUUGGGUUCCUCCUUAUACGUUUUCAUGGUCGAUUGGUUGCUAGGUCCAAUCAAUGCUUGUCGAUGCUCUCUCCAACCUCUCUGACUUGGGGCCCCGCAUGGUGACCAUUGUUUCAACCUGGUGGCGCUGUAGGGGCCACUCCGUGGUACUCUCUCCGGUCCGAUUUACUCAGUCGUGGCUUUAGUUUAAAUUGAACUAAAAUCAUGACGAGUAAAUCGGAAUGGAGGGAGUAGGUUUUAUAGGGCGCAUUUCUCACGGUCGGAGCUUGGUUGUUGAAGAUUGUAGUAGGACAAGAGGGGUGGUGGUUUUUUUUUUUCAAAUCAAACGCAGAAGAGAAUUAUCCAGUUAAUUAACGAGAAACCAGGUGAAAACCGUCAUAAUCCGCUGAGCGGCACACAUAGUAUACCCCACACGCCCCCUUUGAGAGGGCCUCGCCGAGCUAGUACACAUGUGUCAUCAUCAUCACUUCUUCAAAAGCGACGUCAUUGCCAUCCCUAAUCCCCGUCAUCACUUCUUCAAAAGCGACGUCAUUGCCAUCCCUAAUCCCCGAGCAAACGACUCUGAUUUCAUCGUAGACAAGCAUCAACCCAACGCACACCAUAGGGGUCAUGUGGAGACAAAUGAAGAUCUGCACUAGCACUCAACCAUCCGCGUCAAGGACAGCGCAACUCUUCCUCUGGAUGAGAGCUAGGAAGAAGAACUAUACAAGGUUGGCGCCGUGAAAACCACUGAAUAGACCACAUGUUGCUCGUUAUCGUUGAUACAUGGCCCUGCCGUCGCAGCUCCGACUUCGUAGCAACAAACAGACCAAGGCAAUCCCACGAACACGCCGAAGAAGAGCCGACUAACACAACAAUUGCCGUGCCUCCGACCUCGCUCACCCCGCCAUUGUUGCCAUAGCAGGUAGAUGUUGGUGAAUGAACUAUUAGAACUAUUAGAACCAUUGUCGGCGACUAACACAACCAUUGUCGCGCAUUCGACCUCGCUCACCCCACCAUUGUUGGCACAUAAGCUAGAUGUAGAGGGGUGGUGUUGAUGAAUGAACUAUUAGAACUAUUGCUACCAGAACUUAGAUGAUGUUCUGAAUUAUAAUUCUUAACAAUUUUAAGCUUACCUAGCGAUGCCUAGAACACCCUGCACAUACAAGUCUAACAAAGAGUAAAGCGACGAAGCAAAACUUGAUACUACAGGGAGUGAGUCUAGGAGAUUGCAAACUCAAGGAGGUUUCAUGACAUAUUUCAUCUUAUAGUUGGUGCUAUCCUACUCCAUAUUGAAGAAGACGUCAAUCCACGAACGUUCUAGGAUCACGAAGACCUCGAUUGCCAAGUCCAUGGAGUACUUUGCCUACAGGAAAAGGAGGAGUAAAAUGGUACUUCACCCCCAAGAGGUUUCAACUUUGUGGUGGGUGAGCUAAUAACAGGUAAGUUUUGAUGGCAUCUAGCUAUCUUAAGCAGAUGGAAUCUGAUUCGUGACCCAACUAGGGGGUAUAUAGGGUAUACCAUGAAUCCUACUUAAGCUCUUGAGUGGAUUGGGGCCCCUCUAGAGAAGUAUUAGUUUGAGUUCGUGAUUUUUCAUCAAAAAGGUUCUUUCGUUUUCUUGGCCGAGGGACGAUUGUUGUAGCAAGUUUGCGAGGUAAGAUUGAUCUCAUAAAGCUUCAUGAAAUAAUUCAAUGGAAUGCGACCUGCAAAAAACAAGAAGUUCCAACGUGUUUCUACAUAUUUGAUUUUUUUCCUUUUCAGCCCCCUGCUGUUUGUUUUUUCUGUACAGUACUAUGAUGAUAACAAUAUUAUGUUUUGAAACAUUUUGAGGUGGUAAAUAACAUUCAAAUAAUGCGUGUGUGAUUUUUUUCAAAUAUUUCUGCGCACCACUGGUGGUCGUAACAAAGACUUGACCUGGGAGUAGCUAGUCAAACAUAUCCGUUGAAGUCUGUCCAACCCACUGUCACCACCCAUUGACGUUGGUUUUUCCCGAGGCUCGCUGGCACUCGCAGCCGCAGCUUGGCUUUCCUGAGAACUGAGAAGGGACGAUAGGGGAGGAGGAGGUGGGGAUUUCGAAAUUCAAAAUUCACACUCUCCUCUCCUUUCGUCAGGGCAACUGCAACGCCCGUCCAUCAAAUUGUGUGUAAACAUUUGGACCAUACUUUUUAAGGGUAUAUUUGGACCAUACUUGUGUGUAAACAUUUGGACCAUGCUGUUUGGACAAUUUGUGCCCUUCAACGUCGUCCAUCAAAUGUCCAUGGACUAGUUCGUGCGUCGGAAUAACCGUAAAACCGGAAGCAAACCUAGAGGAGGCCGUCGCACUUCGACACACCCUGCCAAGACAAAAGCGAGGCGGAGCCUGCGCAUUUGGACAUUUUCGCGUGAAUGCCCGCACUUUCCCAUCGCCUCUGCUUCGAUCACCGUCACCACCCACCCCGGUUCCCGCCCGUUUCACAGUCCGCCGCCGUGAUGGAGCCGAAGGAGGUGGUGAUGGAGAUGUCCGUAGUUUAGUUUUGUCGGGUCAAGAUACGAAGGACCUAUUGGUGGUGCCUGCCCGCAAGGCCAACACGACGACACACACCACCCAUUGCCGCAAACAGAGGUAGACAAAGGAUGCUUUGAUGGUGGCUGGUCACCCAGUUCUUCGCCCGGCAAAGCAUGCGAUUCGUCGGGUGUGAGUCGUCAGUCGUGCAAUCGCCUUCACCCUGGUCGGCACAUAUGAUUCCGCCAUACUACUUCGCCGCCACGUAGUCCGGUCCGCAGCCCCUACCGUCACCACCAGCCCUCGCGUCCCGUACAAUAUCGACCUCAAUGGGGAGUACAACUUUAUGGAGUCAUAGUCGUCGGUGCUUGUCCAGCCUCCACGCCCAUCGGUGCAUGGUCUUUGUUUGCUGGGAUGUUUCAGUCGAGCGCGAUGAGUGGAUGAUGAUGAGGCGCUGAUGAAUAUGAUACACGACAACGACGACUAUGAAGGCGGGCAAGUAGAUGACACCUAGCUGGUGGUGUGGUGGUGGGCGCCCAACAGAUGCACACUUAGAUGUUAAUAACUAGCAAUCGCAGACCCGGCCGAAAAGAAGGGCGAGCCGUUUGACAAGUUCAUCGUGGUGCAAGAAAAUUUGGCACGAACAAACGGUCUUGCAGGUAAAAAAGAGGUUUGUGAAANNNNNNNNNNNNNNNNNNNNNNNNNNNNNNNNNNNNNNNNNNNNNNNNNNNNNNNNNNNNNNNNNNNNNNNNNNNNNNNNNNNNNNNNNNNNNNNNNNNNNNNNNNNNNNNNNNNNNNNNNNNNNNNNNNNNNNNNNNNNNNNNNNNNNNNNNNNNNNNNNNNNNNNNNNNNNNNNNNNNNNNNNNNNAUUCUUCUAAGACGGGAGAGUUUGACGAAUAGCAAAGUAACGAUAUUGAAACAGAAGAGAAACUAGAUCAUCACAGUAAAGCAAGACAUGCACACAUGAUAGAUGCAGAUGACGAACAUGCAAUCAUACAUACAAUAAAAUGUAAACAUGAUGAGCUGAAGGAAUGAAAGGCAUCCAGAUGAAAGUCUUCAGAAUGCGGACGUACUAAAAGUAAAUGGUUGAGGAAUAUGAAACUAGGAUAGCUCAGUGAUGACAUGAUGAUUUGUUUGAGUAGUUCAAGUUAUUGCAUCAGCUAUACGUCUGGUUAGGGAGGCUGAGAUUGAACUCAGAUGACACUAAGUAUUCACCUUAUUCCCCUUGAGCUAAGGUCACUUAGACCCCAUCCAAUUGAAGGAAAUAUGCCCUUGGGGCAAUAAUAAAGUUGUUAUUUAUAUCAUGAUAAAUGUUUACUAUUCAUGCUAGAAUUGUAUUAACCGAAAACUUGAUACAUGCAUGGAUACAUAGAUAAAACACUGUGUCCCUGGUAACCUCUACUAGAAUAGCUCGUUAAUCAAAGAUGGUUAAGUUUCCAAACCAUAGACAUGUGUUGUCAUUUGAUGAACGGGAUUACACCAUUAGGAGAAUGAUGUGAUGAACAAGACUCAUUUGUUAGCUUAGCAUAUUUAUUGUUCAGUUUUAUUGCUAUUGCUUUCUUCAUGUCAAAUACAUAUUCCUUCGACUAUGAGAUUAUGCAACUCCCGGAUACCGGAGGAAUACCUUGUGUGCUAUCGAACGUCACAAUGUAACUGGGUGAUUGUAAAGAUGCUCUACAGGUAUCUACGAAGGUGUUUGUUGGGUUGGCAUAGAUCGAGAUUAGGAUUUGUCACUCCGAGCAUCAGAGAGGUAUCUCUGGGCCCUCUCGGUAAUGCACACCAUAAGAAGCCUUGCAAGCAAGUGACUAAUGAGUUAGUUACAGGAUGAUGUAUUACGGAACGAGUAAAGAGACUUGCCGGUAACGAGAUUGAACUAGGUAUGAAGAUACCAACGAUCGAAUCUCGGGCAAGUAACAUACCGAUGACAAAGGGAAUAACAUAUGUUGUCAUUACGGUUCGACCGAUAAAGAUCUUCGUAGAAUAUGUGGGAACCAAUACGAGCAUCCAGGUUCUGCUAUUGGUUAUUGAUAAACUAUUCCGAUGUCCAAACAUAACCUUCCAAUAUAUCAAUCUUUAUGUCUAGACCAUUUCGAGACUCCUCGUCAUGUCCGUGAUCUCAUCUGGGACUCCGAACAAACUUCGGUUCAUCAAAACAUAUAACUCAAAUCGUCAUUGAACGUUAAGCGUGCGGACCCUAUGGGUUUGAGAACUAUGUAGACAUGACGGAGACACAUCUUCGGUCAAUAGCCAAUAGCGAAACCUGUAUGCUCAUAUUGGCUCCUACAUAUUCUAUGAAGAUCUUUAUCGGUCAAACCGUAUAACAACAUACGUUGUUCCUGUCAUCGGUAUGUUACUUGCCCGAGAUUCGAUCGUCUGUAUCAUCAUACCUAGUUCAAUAUCGUUACCGGCAAGUCUCUUUACUCGUUCCGUAAUGCAUCAUCCCGUGGCUAGCUAACUCAUUACACACAUUGCUUGCAAGGCUCAUAGUGAUGUGCAUUACCGAGAGGGCCCAGAGAUACCUCUUUGAUACACAGAGUGACAAAUCCUAAUCUCGAUCUCUGCCAACUCAACAAACACCAUCGGAGACAUCUGUAGAGCAUCUUUAUAAUAACCCAGUUACAAUGUGACGUUUGAUAGCACACAAGGUAUUCCUCCAGUAUUCGGGAGUUGCAUAAUCUCAUAGUCAGAGGAACAUGUAUAAGUCAUGAAGAACGCAAUAGCAAUAAAACUAAACGAUCAUUAUGCUAAGCUAACGGAUGGGUCUUGUCCAUCACAUCAUUCUCUAAUGAUAUGAUCCCAUUCAUCAAAUGACAACACAUGUCUAUGGUCACGAAACUACACCAUCUUUGAUUAACGAGCUAGUCUAGUAGAGGCAUACUAGGGACACUCUGUUUGUCUAUGUAUUCACACAUGUACUAAGUUUUUGGUUAAUACAAUUCUAGCAUGAAUAAAAAACAUUUAUCAUAAUAUAAGGAAAUAUAAAUAACAACUUUAUUAUUGCCUCUAGGGCAUAUUUCCUUCAGUCUCCCACUUGCACUAGAGUCAAUAAUCUAGAGUACAUAGUAAUGAUUCUAACACCCAUGGAGUCUUGGUGCUGAUCAUGUUUUGCUUGUGAGAGAGGAUUAGUCAACGGGUCUGCAACAUUCAGAUCCGUAUGUAUCUUGCAAAUCUCUAUGUCUCCCUCCUUGACUUGAUCGCGGAUGGAAUUGAAGCAUCUCUUGAUGUGUUUGGUUCUCUUGUGAAAUCCGGAUUCCUUCGCCAAGGCAAUUGCUCCAGUAUUGUGACAAAAGAUUUUCAUUGGACCCAAUGCACUAGGUAUGACACCUAGGUCGGAUAUGAACUCCUUCAUCUAGACUCCUUCAUUUGCUGCUUCUGAAGCAACUAUGUACUCCGCUUCACACGUAGAUCCCGCCACGACGCUCUGCUUGGAACUGCACCAACUGAAAGCUCCACCAUUCAAUAUAAAUACAUAUCCGGCUUGUGACUUAGAGUCAUCCGGAUCAGUGUCAAAGCUUGCAUCGACGUAACCAUUUACGACGAGCUCUUUGUCACCUCCAUAAACGAGAAACAUAUCCUUAGUCCUUUUUAUGUAUUUCAGGAUGUUCUUGAUUGUUGUCCAGUGAUCCUCUUCUGAAUUACUUUGGUACCUCCCUACUAAAAUAAUAGCAAGGCACACAUAAGGUCUGGUACACAACAUUUCAUACAUGAUAGAACCUAUGGCUGAGGCAUAGGGAAUGACUUUCAUUUUAUCUCUAUCUCCUGCAAUGGUCGGGCAUUGAGUCUGACUCAACUUCACACCUUGUAACAUAGGCAAGAACCCUUUCUUCGACCGAUCCAUUUUGAACUUCUUCAAAAAUUUAUCAAGGUAUGUGCCUUUUGAAAGUCCAAUUAAGCGUCUUGAUCUAUCUCUAUAGAUCUUGAUGCCCAAUAUAUAAGCAGCUUCACCGAGGUCUUUCAUUGAAAAAUUCUUAUUCAAGUAUCCUUUUAUGCUAUUCAGAAAUUCAAUAUCAUUUCCAAUCAACAAUAUGUCGUCCACAUAUAAUAUAAGAAAUGCUACAGAGCUCCCACUCACUUUCUUGUAAAUACAGGCUUCUCCAAAAGUCUGUAUAAAACCAUAUGCUUUGAUCACACAAUCAAAGCGUAUAUUCCAACUCCGAGAGGCUUGCACCAGUCCAUAAAUGGAUCGCUGGAGUUUGCACACUUUGUUAGCACCUUUUGGAUCGACAAAACCUUCUGGUUACAUCAUAUACAACUCUUCUUUAAGAUAUCCAUUAAGGAAUACAGUUUUGACAUCCAUUUGCGAAAUUUCAUAAUCAUAAAAUGCGGCAAUUGCUAACAUGAUUUGGACAGACUUAAGCAUCGUUACGGGUGAGAAGGUCUCAUCGUAGUCAACUCCUUGAACUUGUCGAAAACCUAUCGCAACAAGUCGAGCUUUGUAAACAGUAACAUUACCGUCAGCGUUAGUCUUCUUCUUGAAGAUCCAUUUAUUUUCUAUUACUUGCCCAUCAUCGGGCAAGUCAACCAAAGUCCACACUUUGUUCUCAUACAUGGAUCCCAUCUCAGAUUUCAUGGCCUCAACCCAUUUCAUGGAAUCUAGGCUCAUCAUCGCUUCCUCAUAGUUCGUAGGUUCAUCAUGGUCAAGUAACAUGACCUCCAGAACAGGAUUACCGUACCACUCUGGUGCGGAUCUUACUCUGGUUGACCUACGAGGUUCGGUAGUAACUUGAUCAGAAGUUUCAUGAUCAUCAUCACUAGCUUCCUCACUAAUUGGUGUAGGAAUCACCGAAACUGACUUCUGUGAUUAACUACUUUCCAAUUCGGGAGAAGGUACAAUGACCUCAUCAAGUUCUACUUUCCUCCCACUCACUUCUUUCGAGAGAAACUCCUUCUCUAGAAAGGAUCCAUUCUUAGCAACGAAUAUUUUGCCUUCAGAUCUGUGAUAGAAGGUGUACCCAACAGUCUCCUUUGGGUAUCCUAUGAAGACACAUUUCUCCGAUUUGGGUUCGAGCUUAUCAGGUUGAAGCUUUUUCGCAUAAGCAUCGCAGCCCCAAACUUUAAGAAACGACAACUUGGGUUUCUUGCCAAACCACAGUUCGUAUGGUGUCGUCUCAACGGAUUUAGAUGGUUCCAUAUUUAACAUGAAUGUAGCCGUCUGAUAACCCACAAGUAUAGGGGAUCGCAAUAGUUUUCGAUAAGUAAGAGUGUCGAACCCAACGAGGAGCUAAAGGCAGAACAAAUAUUCCCUCAAGUUCUAUCGACCACCGAUACAACUCUAUGCAUGCUUGAUGUUCGCUUUACCUAGAACAAGUAUGAAACUAGAAAUACUAUGUAGGUGUUGUUGGAUAGGUUUACAAGAUAAUAAAUAGCAAGUAAAUAAAAAGUAGGGGCUGUUUAGAUAAAGACACAACUAAGUUAGUUUUAGUAAAGAGCUUUUUGUUACGAGAAAGUUAUUUGUCCCUAGGCAAUCGAUAACUAGACCGAUAAUCAUUAUUGCAAUUUUAUAUGAGGAAGAGGCAUAAGCUAACAUACUUUCUCUACUUGGAUCAUAUGCACUUAUGAUUGGAACUCUAGAAAGCAUCCUCAACUACUAAAGAUCAUUAAGGUAAAACCCAACCAUAGCAUUAAAGUAUCAAGUCCUCUUUAUCCCAUACGCAAACAACCUACUUACUCGGGUCUGUGCUUCUGUCACUCACGCCACCCACCAUAAGCAAAUCAUGAACAUAUUGCAAACCCUACAGCAGGAAUCCCUCACGCUUGCGCGACACAGAGAGCACCAUAGGACAGCACCAAUAAUAAAACAUGCAACUCAAACCAAUCACGAUCAUUAAUUAACCCAUAGGACAAAACGGAUCUACUCAAACAUCAUAGGAUAGCCAUACAUCAUUGGGAAAUAAUAUAUAGCAUUGAGCACCAUGUUUAAGUAGAGAUUACAGUGAGUAAAAUAGAGGUUACACUGCUGCAUAGAGGGGGGAAGAGUUGGUGAUGAUGGCGGUGAAGUUGUUGGUGAAGAUUGCGGUGAUGAUGAUGGUCCCCGGUGGCACUCCGGUGCCACUGGAAGCGAGGGGGAGAGAGCCCCCCUCCAUCUUCUUCUUCCUUGAACUCCUCCCUAGAUGGGAGAAGGGUUUCCCCUCUGGUCCUUGGUCUCCAUGACGUGGGAGGGGCGAGAGCCCCUCCGAGAUUGGAUCUCUCUCUCUCUCUCUCUCUCUCUCUCUCUCUCUCUCUCUGUUUCUGUGUUCCCAGAUUCUCCCUUUCACCAUUUCUUAUAUUUUCGUAGAUCUGCAACUCCGAUUGGGCUGAAAUUUUAACACGAUCUCUAUUCGGAUAUUAGCUUUCUUGCGGCGAAAGAAGGGCAUCAACCGCCUUACGGGGUGGCCACGAGGGUCAGGGGCGCGCCCAGGGGGUGGGGCGCCCCCCUGCCUCGUGCCUCCCUCGGGCACCGUCUCGCAUGGAUUUUUCUUCCCCAAAAUCAUAUAUAUUCCAAAAAAAUCUCCGUCAGUUUUUAUCCCGUUUGGACUCCGUUUCAUAUGGAUAUUCUGCGAAACAAAAAACAUGCAACAAACAGGAACUGACACUGGGCAAUGGAUGAAUAUGUUAGUCCCAAAAAUAGUAUAAAAAGUUGCCAAAAGUAUAUGAAAGUUGUAGAAUAUUGGCAUGGAACAAUAAAAAAUUAUAGAUACGAGAGAGACGUAUCAGUAUCCCCAAGCUUAAUUCCUGCUCGUCCUCGAGUAGGUAAAUGAUAAAAAAGAUAAUUUUUGAUGUGGAAUGCUACCUAGCAUAAUCUUGAUCACAUAUCUAAUCAUGGCAUGAAUAUUAAGACACGAGUGAUUCAAAGCAAUAAUCUAUCAUUUGACAUAAAAACAAUAAUACUUCAAGCCCACUAAUAAAGCAAUCAUGUCUUUUCAAAAUAACAUGGCCAACGAAAGUUAUCCCUACAAAAUCAUAUAGUCUGGCUAUGCUCCAUCUUCACCACACAAAAUAUUCACAUCAUGCACAACCCCGAUGACAAGCCAAGCAAUUGUUUCAUACUUUUGACGUUCUCAAACCUUUUCAACUUUCACGCAAUACAUGAGCGUGAGCCAUGGACAUAGCACUAUAGGUGGAAUAGAAUGGUGGUUGUGGAGAAGACAAAAAGGAGAAGAUAGUCUCACAUCAACUAGGCAUAUCAACGGGCUAUGGAGAUUCCCAUCAAUAGAUAUCAAUGUGAGUGAGUAGGGAUUGCCAUGCAACGGAUGCACUAGAGCUAUAAGUGUAUGAAAGCUCAGACUGAAAACUAAGUGGGUGUGCAUCCAACUUGCUUGCUCAUGAAGACCUCGGGCGUUUGAGGAAGCCCAUCAUCGGAAUAUACAUGCCAAGUUCUAUAAUGAAAAUUCCCACUAGUAUAUGAAAGUGAUAACUCAAGAGCCUCUCUAUAUGAAGAACAUGGUGCUACUUUGAAGCACAAGUGUGGUAAAAGGAUAGUAACAUUGCCCCUUCUCUCCUUUUCUCUCCUUUUUUUUGUGGGCUUCUUUGGCCUCUUUUUUUAUUUGGGCUUCUUUGGCCUCUUUUAUUUAUUUUUAAAGUCCGGAGUCUCAUCCCGACUUGUGGGGGAAUCAUAGUCUCCAUCAUCCUUUCCUCACUGGGACAAUGCUCUAAUAAUGAUGAUCAUCACACUUUUAUUUACUUACAACUCAAUAUUACAACUCGAUACUAGAACAAAGAUAUGACUCUAUAUGAAUGCCUCCAGCAGUGUACCGGGAUGUGCAAUGAUCUAGCGUAGCCAUGACAUCAAAAAAUGGAUAAGCCAUGAAAACAUCAUGCUAGCUAUCUUACGAUCAUGCAAAGCAAUAUGACAAUGAAUGCUCAAGUCAUGUAUAUGAUGAUGAUGGAAGUUGCAUGGCAAUAUAUCUCGGAAUGGCUAUGUAAAUGCCAUGAUAGGUAGGUAUGGUGGCUGUUUUGAGGAAGGUAUAUGGUGGGUUUAUGGUACCGGCGAAAGUUGCGCGUUACUAGAGAGGCUAGCAAUGGUGGAAGGGUGAGAGUGCGUAUAAUCCAUGGACUCAACAUUAGCCAUAAAGAACUCACAUACUUAUUGCAAAAGUCUAUUAGCUAUCGAAACAAAGUACUAAGUGCAUGCUCCUAGGGGGAUAGUUUGGUAGGAAAAGACCAUCGCUCGUCCCCGACCGCCACUCAUAAGGAAGACAAUCAAUAAAUAAAUCAUGCUCCGACUUCAUUACAUAACGGUUCACCAUACGUGCAUGCUACGGGAAUCACAAACUCCAACACAAGUAUUUCUACAAUCCACAACCACCCACUAGCAUGACUCUAAUAUCACCAUCUUUAUAUCGCAAAACUAUUGCAAGGAAUCAAACAUAUCAUAUUCAGUGAUCUACAAGUUUUAUGUAGGAUUUUAUGACUAACCAUGUGAAUGACCAAUUCCUAUCAUCUCUCUAAAUAGAUAUAAGUGAAGCAAGAGAGUUUAAUUCUUUCUACAAAAGAUAUGCCCACGCUCUAACAAAUAUAAGUGGAGCAAAAGAGCAUUCUACAAAUGGUGUUUUUUAUGUAAAGAGAGACAGGCAAUCCAAACUUCAAAUGAUAUAAGUGAAGCACAUGAAGCAUUCUACAAAGCCAUACUCAAAAGAUAUAAGUGAAGUGCAUAGAGCAUUCUAUAAAUCAAUCGAGGACUAUCUCAUACCAGCAUGGUGCAUAAAAGAAAAAAAAUGAAAACUAAAUGCAAAGACACUCGAAGAUUUACACAUAUCACAUGAAUGAAACGAAUCCGAAAACAUACUGAUACUUGUUGAAGAAAGAGGGGAUGCCUUCCGGGGCAUCCCCAAGCUUAGAUGAUUGAAUCUCCUUGAAUAUUUACUUGUGGUGCCUUGGGCAUCCCCAAUUAUCUUGAGCUCUUGCCUCUCUUCCUUCUUCUUACAUCGAGACCUUCUCGAUCAUCAAACACUUCAUCCACACAAAACUUCAACAGAAAACUCGGUAAGAUCCGUUAGUAUAAUAAAGCAAAUCACUACUCUAAGUACUAUUGUAAACCAAUUCAUAUUUUGUUUUUGCAUUGUGUCUACUGUAAUAUAACUUUUUCAUGGCUUAAUCCACUGAUAUGAAUCGAUAGUUUCAUCAAAACAAGCAAACUAUGCAUCAAAAACAGAAUCUUUCUAAAACAGAACAGUCUAUAACAAUCUGAACAUUCACCAUACUUUUGAUACUUUAAAAAUUCUACCAAAAUUAGUAAAAAUAAAAAAAUUGUAUAUAAAGACAGUGCAAAAAUAAUCAGAACCAUUUGACGUUCCAGCUAAAAAUGUAAAAUCGCGCACUACAGCCAAAGUUUAUGUCCUGCACCGUACAAACCAACAAGCAUUGUAAACAUCCUAAAGGCAAACCUUGGCACAUUAUUUUUAUAAUACAAUGGAAUUGUACAAGGGGAUAAUUAUUUUUUGAAAAGUUCCUGUAAUCAAGAUUCACAAAGUUCCCGUGAGCAUGAACAAAGUUCAAGGCUAGCUCCUACUUCAACAAUGCUCGUCUUUCUCACUUUCGUUUUCCUUUUUGAAAAAGUUUUGGGUUCCCCUCUUUAUUUUUUUUGUUUUUAAACUAUAUAAAAGCACUCAACAGAAGUAAAUGACUCUCUAAAACUUCCGGGUUGUCUCCCUGGCAGCGCUUUGUUUAAAGCCAUUAAGCUAGGCAUAUAGUGCUCAAGUAGUGAAUCCACCCGGAUCCCAAGGUAUAUCAAAGCCAAUUUUAAUUAACAAUGAUUUGUUAUUUAGUAGUGAGCACAAAGUAACAUAUAUCAUGUAACAACUAACUCUAACUCUCUUCCUAUGCAUCAGCAUGUCAUAAAAGAACAAUUCAUGCACACAUAGUAAAGGCCAAUGCAUAGUAUAAACAGUUUCUUGCAAUUUUAUCGUAUUGGAAACAUAGAGAGGUGGAGAUAUAGUUCCUAUCUCAUAAUAAUUGCAAGUAGGAGCAGCAAGCACAUGCAUAUUAUAUCUAUCAAAAUCAUCAUGUGUAGUAGUAAAAGGCAACCCAUCAAUAUAAUCCUUAAUAAGCACAAACUUCUCCGAUAUAGUAUAGUUUGGAGAAUUCAAAAAGAUAAUAGGACUAUCAUGUGUGGGUGCAAUAUCAACAAUUUCAUGUUUAACAUAAGGAAAUAUAGCAAGUUCAUCUCCAUAAGCAUAAUUUAUAUUGGCAUCUUGGCCACAAGCAUAGCAAGCAUAAUCAAAAAGGGAUAUUUCAAGAGAGUCAACGGGAUCGUAACAAUCAUCAUAGCAAUCAUCCUUCGGUAAGCACGAAGAGAAAUUAAACAAUGUAUGAGUUGAAGAGUUACUCUCAUUAGAAGAUGGGCACGGGUAGCUAAUCCGCUCUUCCUCCUUUUGUUCUUCGCUCUCCUCCUCAUCUUUUUCAUCCAAUGAGCUCACAGUUUCAUCAAUUUCUUCUUCCAUAGACUCCUGCAAAAUAGUAGUCUCUUCUUGGACAGCGGAGUAGUCCUCAAUAUAUGGUUCAACAUAGGCAUUAGAAGUAUAAUUAUCAUAACAAUAUUUAAGUAUGGCAAAAUUUUCAGAUUUGUAAAGAGUAGCAUCACACUUUUCAAUCAAAGAAUCAAUUUCGUAAGCACCCUUAAAAGCAACAAAUUCUUCAAUUUGUUGAACAUCAUAGUAAUUAUAAACACCCUUAGCAUACGAAGAUACGAUUCCAUUAUCACUAAACUCACAUUUAUAGGGGAGAUGUUUCUUAGGGUUUUCAGAACAACAAGUAAAAUCAUAUAUUUCACAUAAAUUCCAAGCAUAGCAUUGCAAACGAUGAAUUUGACCCAGUAAAAGUUUCCCUUUUUCAGAUAUACGGUGUCGCACAUAACAAGCAUGCCCAUCUAAAGAUUUGCCCUCAACUAAGCUAGUUGGGGUUUCAGCACGAGCACAUAGGGAUCGAAGAUGAUCUAAGUAAUAAGCUUCAAGAGUGUGAUAGAUUUUGAGUGGUUCUUCAACCAUUGGUUCAGUAGGUACAACUAUUUUUUUGGUAUUUUGCGUUUCCUACCCAUAACUAAAGAUAGAAAACAACUAAGAACAACAAAUAAAAAUUACUUAGUCAUAAAGCAAACAAGCACACACGAGAAUAUUCACCCCAUGCUAUUCCUCCCCGGCAACGACGCUAGAAAAAGGUCUUGAUAACCCACAAGUAUAGGGGAUCACAACUAUUUUUGAUAAGUAAGAGUGUCGAACCCAACGAGGAGCUAAAGGCAGAACAAAUAUUCCCUCAAGUUCUAUCGACCACCGAUACAACUCUAUGCACGCUUGAUGUUCGCUUUACCUAGAACAAGUAUGAAACUAGAAGUACUAUGUAGGUGUUGUUGGAUAGGUUUAAAAGAUAAUAAAGAGCAAGUAAAUAAAAAGUAGGGGCUGUUUAGAUAAAGACACAACUAAGUUAGUUUUAGUAAAGAGCUUUUUGUUACGAGAAAGUUAUUUGUCCCUAGGCAAUCGAUAACUAGACCGGUAAUCAUUAUUGCAAUUUUAUAUGAGGGAGAGGCAUAACAUAACAUACUUUCUCUACCUGGAUCAUAUGCACUUAUGAUUGGAACUCUAGCAAGCAUCCUCAACUACUAAAGAUCAUUAAGGUAAAACCCAACCAUAGCAUUAAAGUAUCAAGUCCUCUUUAUCCCAUACGCAAACAACCUACUUACUCGGGUCUGUGCUUCUGUCACUCACACCACCCACCAUAAGCAAAUCAUGAACAUAUUGCAAACCCUACAGUGGGAAUCCCUCACGCUUGUGCGACACGGAGAGCACCAUAGGACAACACCAAUAAUAAAACAUGCAACUCAAACCAAUCACAAUCAUCAAUUAACCCAUAGGACAAAACGGAUCUACUCAAACAUCAUAGGAUAGCCAUACAUCAUUGGGAAAUAAUAUAUAGCGUUGAGCACCAUGUUUAAGUAGAUAUUAAAGUGGGUAAAAGAGAGGUUACACUGCUGCAUAGAGGGGGGAAGAGUUGGUGAUGACGGCGGUGAAGUUGUUGGUGAAGAUUGCGGUGAUGAUGAUGGCCCCCGGUGGCACUCCGGUGCCACUGGAAGCGAGGGGGAGAGAGCCCCCCUCCUUCUUCUUCUUCCUUGACCUCCUCCCUAGAUGGGAGAAGGGUUUCCCCUCUGGUCCUUGGUCUCCAUUACGUGGGAGGGGUGAGAGCCCCUCCGAGAUUGGAUCUGUCUCUCUGUCUCUCUCUGUUUCUGCGUUCCCAGAUUCUACCCUUUCACCGUUUCUUAUAUCCCCGGAGAUCCGUAACUCCGAUUGGGCUGAAAUUUUAAUACGAUCUCUAUCCGGAUAUUAGCUUUCUUGCGGUGAAAGAAGGGCAUCAACUGCCUUACGGGGUGGCCACGAGGGUCAGGGGCGCGCCCAGGGGGGUGGGGCGCGCCCCCCUGCCUCGUGCCUCCCCCGGGCACCGUCUCGCGUGGAUUUUUCUUCCCAAAAAUCAUAUAUAUAUAUAUAUAUUCCAAAAAAAUCUCCAUCAAUUUUUAUCCCGUUUGGACCCCGUUUGAUAUGAUAUUCUGCGAAACAAAAAACAUGCAACAAACAGGAACUGGCACUGGGCACUGGAUGAAUAUGUUAGUCCCAAAAAUAGUAUAAAAAGUUGCCAAAAGUAUAUGAAAGUUGUAGAAUAUUGGCAUGGAACAAUCAAAAAUUAUAGAUACGACAGAGACGUAUCACCAUCUCUAAAGCAUAACCCCAAAAUGAUAGCGGUAAAUCAGUAAGAGACAUCAUAGAUCACACCAUAUCUAAUAAAGUACGAUUACGACAUUCGGACACACCAUUACACUGUGGUGUUCCAGGCGGUGUGAGUUGUGAAACUAUUCCACAUUGUUUCAAAUGAAGACCAAACUCGUAACUCAAAUAUUCACCUCCACGAUCAGAUCGUAGAAACUUUAUUUUCUUGUUACGUUGAUUUUCCACUUCACUCUGAAAUUGUUUGAACUUUUCAAAUGUUUCAGACUUAUGUUCAUCAAGUAGAUAUACCCAUAUCUGAUCAAAUCAUCUGUGAAGGUUAGAAAAUAACAAUACCCGAUGCGAGCCUCAACACUCAUCGGACCGCAUACAUCAGUAUGUAUUAUUCCCAACAAGUCUGUUGCUCUUUCCAUUGUUCCGAAGAACGGAGUCUUAGUCAUCUUGCCCAUGAGGCAUGGUUCGCAAGCAUCAAGUGAUUCCAAAAGUCCAUCAACAUGGAAUUUCUUAAUGCGCUUUAAACCAAUAUGACCUAGACGACAGUGCCCCAAAUAAGUUGCUGUCGGUGUCAAAACCGGCGAAUCUCGGGUAGGGGGUCCCGAACUGUGCGUCAAGGCCGGAUGGUAACAGGAGACAAGGGACAAGAUGUUUUUUACCCAGGUUUGGGCCCUCUCGAUGGAGGUAAUACCCUAUUCCUGCUUGAUUAAUAUUGAUGAUAUGGGUAGUACAAGAGUAGAUCUACCACGAGAUCAAGGAGGCUAAACCCUAGAAGCUAGCCUAUGGUAUGAUUGUUGUGUAUGGAGUUGAUUGCCUACGGACUACAACCCUCCGGUUUAUAUAGACACCAGAUAGGGUUAGGGUUACAUAGAGUCGGUUACAAUGGUAGGAGAUCUUGAAUAUCCGCAUCGCCAAGCUUGCCUUCCACGCCAAGGAAAAUCCCAUCCGGACACGGGACGAAGUCUUCAAUCUUGUAUCUUCAUAGUCCAGGAGUCCAGCUGAAGGUAUAGUCCGGCUACCCGAACACCCCCUAAUCCAGGACUCCCUCAGUAGCCCCCGAACCAGGCUUCAAUGACGAUGAGUCCGGCGCGGAGAUUGUUCGGCAUUGCAAGGCGGGUUCCUCUCCAAAUCUUGUGUACCUGUAGGAAUAAUGUCCGAUUUUUGUAAUGUAGUGCUCCUCGGCUUCCACGCCCAAUAAUGGCCAUCUUCCACAUGUUCAAACGAAUGCGAAAAGCCGGGGUGUUUUUACAUCCACACCCCUAGCCGUAUAAACGAGCCGCCUAUUUAACGGGAUGGGGAUUUAGGUCCAAACCACAUCUUCUCCUUUCCGCGAGUUAUCAUCAGAGCGCUUCCAACAAAGGUCCAUUCCAACAUGACCAGCCGUCGCAGCUCCUCCCCUCGCCCUCCGGUCCCAAACCCGAGGACUGGGAGAGUUGUUCCAUCCCGCAUAGCGAGUUAGCGUCACUUCAGGCCAAGGGAUUUCUCCCUCAGGCAUACAUGGUCCCGGUCCGAGCCGGUCUCGCCACCUAUAAUGGCGGAAAACAAGCGGAGAGCACCCCCAAUCCUUCUAAAGGAGAGCGGGUGUGCCUCGUCCCCUAUCUAAUAAGGGGACUGGGAUUUCCAAUUCACCCAUUUCUCCGCGGGCUUCUGGAGUUCUACGGCCUCCAGCUGCACAACCUCACGCCCGCCUCCGUAUUGCAUAUUGCGGGUUUCGUCGCCCUUUGCGAGCUAUUUUUAGGCGUUGAGGAUCAUUUCGCGCUGUGGAAGAGGUUAUUCUGCCUGGUGCCCCGUUAUAAAGAGGGGUCUAUAUACCAAGUGGGCGGAGCCGAAGUAUGGCGCAUCGCCGGGACCGGAUACCUAUCCGGAACCCCAAAGAAGGCGUCCGAGGACUGGCCUUCGGAAUGGUUUUAUAUAGAUGACGUCCCGCUACCGGACCCUAUCCGGGUCGGUCUCCCUGAGUUCAACAGUGCUCCAUUGAAGAAACGCUUGAGCUGGCGUCCGCGGAGCUCUCAGAGAGAGAGCGACAGAGACGUCCUUUACCUGAUGGGCCGGAUAACACUGUUGGCUCAUUCCGGACUAACCAUGAUUGGAGUCAUGGCCGCAUGCAUUAUGCGGGGGGUGCAGCCACUUCAAUAUAGAGGCCACCCCAUGUGGGAUUUCAACGGGGAGGAUGACGCCACCCGUUACGGUCGUAAGGGGCCGGCUUUAGCUGCCGCCCUAGUAAAGAUCUUAUCCUCUUUGUACAAGGGAGAAAAGGAGGAAUUCCUCCGCGUCAACCCGCAGGCCGGAUUUACUAUGUACGUUCCUCCAAGUUGGGUAAGUGAACAACUGCGCUUGCCCGUUUGUUUUGUACUCCCACGGUUAGAUAUGUAGUCUAACGACUUCAAUGCAGGAACUGCGACAGGUGGUAAAGGAUAUAAACAAUCGCCCUCCACAACCCGAGGACCCAGAUCGGUCCCUCGAUCCGGACUCCGAAGAGGAUCCGGACAUAUCGGUGGAGCUUAUCGACGGGGUGUUCCAUCAGCUAAGCAAGGACAAUACCUUGGUAGCCAUCACGGCUGAUUACCCAGGGUUAAUCCCGGCCUCCCAGGUGACAGAAACCGGAGUCUCAUUCCCUUGAGGGAGAUUCCACUCUCACGUAUUCCAGUGUUUCUGACGACAACCAUGUUUUCCAGGGGAGAUUUCCGAGGCAGGAGGCCGAACCUGCGGCGGCUAGCCAACGAGGGGCCGCAGGGCCCCGUGGGGCAAAAAGGAAUGUAGUUCGAACUGAGAUGCCGGCGCAAAGGUAUAGCACACCCUCUGCUUCCCUGGUGUUAUUCUGUCCGGGCAUAUUAACGUUCGUGCUAUCUUCAGAACGAAGAGACCUCGCCGGACUAUAUCCGGAGAGGUUGCCAAUCGCGCCUCCACCAGCCAGGCUCCAACGUCUGGCCAGGAAGCGGAGGCGAGCACAAGGCGCGCACAGGACGCUCCUCCGACAGAGGAUGCGGAUAGUCUGUCUGCCACAAAUUCUGAAGUGGAGAGUGCCAUGAACCACAGGCGUUGCCGGACAGUUCUACGCGACGCUUGUUUCUCCCAAGAGGCUUUAGAUGCCUUUAAUUCGGGAGAUGCGUACCUCCGUGCCGCUCAAAAUGGUUUAGCCAGAGCCACGGAGCAGUAUGUAAAAGACAUACGGGUAAGAAAAUUUUGGUCAAAUAUAUAUUACCCGUAGCCCCCGAGACUUGAAACAGUUAGAGCAACUGAUUUAAGGAUCAUUUAAUAUUUAGGUUCUUACAGAGAAGAAUACUGUACUGUCCCAGGAGCUGGAAAAGUGCAAGGCCCAACUAGAGGCCGCACUAGCCGCAGUGGGGGAGUCCAAAGAGACCCCCUCAGGUAAGAUACACUUCGAAAGAUUAGUAUUGUGUGGUGUGGGUGCAAAUCUGACAAAUCAUGUUGCAGAUGGCGCCGGACUCGAUCCGGAAAAGCAACAACUCUUACGCCAGCUAAAGGCUGGUGAGAGUACGUUGACAAAGGUGAGGCGAGAGCAGAAUGAUCUUCAGGAUGCCAACACCAGGCUGGACGUCGAACUUAAAGAUGUUCGUGGCCAGCUGUCGGACUCCACGAAGGAGAAUCAGCGGCUUCGACGCGGCAUAUUUAGUAAGUGCUUGAACGAACUUUGAAAAAA